GGCGCAGUGGCUUAGUGGUAAAGUGCUUGGCUUCUGAACAAGGGGGUCCCAGGUUCGAAUCCAAGCGCCU
rnacentral:tRNA from 1 species